GUUUGUUUAAGUUUGGAAUGCCAAUCAUACAAGCUUCAGCCCCUUUCAGAAAUCACCACAAAGAACCAUUUAUCACAGAUUGUUUUUCAGGUUCACAGGUUGUACCUUGGAUAACUGCAUGAGCUGAAAGAGUCAAUAAUAACUGUGUAAUUUUUGAGGGCCAAAUAACAAUUUUAGUCCUCUGUAGAUUUGCAGGAGUUUUUGGAGUUCACUGUUGAAGAUACUGUGUUGGAUUCAGCAGCUUCCACAGUGCCAAAACUGUAGAAAUAUAAAAUCUUAUAUUAAAAUAGGCAUGAACACAUAAGCUUCUUUACCUUAACAGGUGGCUAGCUGAGUAGAAAAAGAUCUGUGUUAUUGCAGGUUUGUUAGUUAGACAAAUUAGAUAUGAAUGGUGAAGUGACUGCUCCAUGGUCCCCGGUUUAUACUGAGCUCGGGUAACCCUCUGUGCCGAGUUUCUGUGCAUGUUAAAUCGUCUAAAUUGCCUCUAGGUGUUAAUGAAUACAUCAGUGUGUGUGCACAUGAUGCCCUGCGAUGGACUGGGUCCCAUUUGUGAUUCAUGUUCCCGGUUGAGGCUCCAGAUCCACCACAACUUUGACCACAACAAAGUGUUUACUGAAAGUGAGUGAUGGAUAAAGCUGCCAGCUUUUAUUCCAUAUAUUGUAUACCAGUCAGAAGUUUGGACACAUUAGAUUACAUUAUUAGAUUAGAAUAUUUUGUUCAUAGUUUUUAAAAACAUUCAGAGAAAGGCCUACAGUAUAUUGGACAUUUGUUUCUAUGUAAAUAUGGAAGUUAAUGCCCUUAAAAAAUCUAUAUGUAUUUAAAUUUUAAAAAAUUAUCACCUUACCCCAUUUUGAAAUCCUCUGUAGGGGACAGUCAUGAAUUUUUCUAUAGAGUUGAGCGGCAAAUGUGCCAUAUUUAUUGGUAAUAAUGCAGACAUACAUUCCAUUUAGGUCUGAGGUUGACGUCAUGAAAUGCAGUCUGUUUCCUUCUGCUUUAGUUCCUUCAGGAAGAGAGAGCAAAUCCUGUCUGGUUAGAUAAACAAAAGAACAAAGGUUCAUCAAAAGGGGUCUGUAAAGUUCAAUUCAAUUGCAUGUAACUUUGUCCUUAUAGUCAGUACAGUAUUAAAAAGCAUACCUCACAGAUACAACAUAUAUAUUUUCUGUGAUUUGAAGCCUCAACCACCAUAUAUUUAUGAUUCCAGAUUUAAGUCCAGAUUUAUAACUUGUAAAUCCAUAUUCAGCAAUGUUUCAGCAGAUGUUUGUGUUUAUUUUGUUCACUUCUAUCAGUUCCUCUUUGUCACUAUAUUCUGUUAAGGAACCAACAGAGAUAGAUGGAUGGAAAAAUUUGUCCAAUUUUGUUACUGAACUCACAGCAUAGUGAAGCAUGUUAGAAUAGCAAAAAGGUAUAAAUAGCAUAUACAUGCUUAAUUUCACCACUUUUCAUUUCAUAGCAUGAUUAAAUGUAACUCCUAGUAAGAUUUCAGAUUAGUAGCUCCAUUGAAACAAAUCAAUUUUAAUAGACAUAUAGUGCAUGUGAGAGACGAGCACCCUCAUCUUCUAUCCUGCUUUCUUCUAUCCUGUAUUAAUCCUUCUGAAAUAAAACCUUUCACCUGAGAGGACGAGUCAACUGGUGUUUGUCUAAGUUUCGACCACAAUUUGGCAUCCCUGGCUGGGCUGGGCGAGUCCUUCAGCUUUUCUGGACAACAAGCAAACCGGAGGACGCUCGUGAAAAAAAGGUUCACCCUGAAAUCCGUAUUGACUCGCAGGCGGUUUGCCUUUUAUUGUGCAGAGAGAAAGACCGAUGCAGCCUUACCACUGACUGGUAGGAAUCAUCAAGAAACAGCCUUAAGGUAAAUUAGAAGUUUAUAAAGUCAUAGUGUAUUGCUGUCUGUGUGGAAGGUAGUCAAUGAUAUAAGAAAUGCAUGUAUUACACUGAGAGAAGUAUUACAUGGAGCGAUUUCUUAUAAGAAGUUCCAGGAACUCUGCUUCUGCGACGGCAGAGAUAUUGGUGUUUCUUAGAUCACAGCUUCAAAACUAAGAUAUAUACCGAUGGGUAUAUAUAUAGAGAGAUAACGAUAAAAAUAUUUGCUAGUGGAAAGAGUUUGGAGCAAUCAAUAAGUAAAGCGAGUAGUUAUUAGAAGUGCAAGAGGUGCAGUAUUUUUGUGACGGGUUAUUGUCAGAGAAGUGGCAUGUCCCAUUGCCUCAUUCCAUCAUAUCAGCAGUACAUGAUGUUAAGGAUUCAGCCACAUAUUUAUAUAUACCUGAUUACUGGGAAUUUCAUUCUCUUGUAUAAUUUGGGUUUAAUCAAAGGUUGUUAUAUACUACAGAUAGCCCUCGCGUGCCUGAGUUAUUAUCCUUUUACAACCCGAGAGAUAAGAUAAGCAAUUCUGGGUGGGGAGAAAAUUAACAUCUGUGGUCUAAAGUUUUAUUUUAAUGGUCAUCAUUCUGUUAAUCAUUCUGGGAAAUUGAACAUUUUGAAUAUAAACGGGAAAGAGUGCAUGUGAGCAUGUAUUAUUUUAAUUACAACAGUACGUUGAACUGAUUAAGUUAUUUUGAAGGUCAUUGUGAAAGUUGAAUAAUGGGUAAAGCAAGUAGCAAAGAGCAGUCUGUGGUGCACGCUGUGGUGCACACAGGUUGUUCAUAUGUUGGUCCUUUUAUCAUGUUUAUGCAUGUAAAUUUUUGAGAGGGAUGCUCGAAUCAAUAUGAUGUGUGGGUAGAGAAUGUGCACUUCCAGAAAAAGGUAGGUUUAGUCUUAGGCAGUUAGAACAGAUAAAACUCAACUCAGAAACAAAAGGAGAGAGAUAUUUCGAAAAGUAAAAAAGAAGCAUCGUUUUUAGCAGACUGGAAGGCAUUUGGUGAAUGUCAGCGUGAGGUACAUAAAAGAGAGAAAAAAAGUGACAGGCAGGGCCCUCACCGGUUUCUCAGUGUGGUGUUACAGAAAGCUGAUCCUGACCUGGACUCUGCCCCUACACGGCAAACACAACCCGCAGCAGAAGCGAGUCCCUGAGCACCAUCAUUAGGUCCACGUUUCAAUCCAGCCCUCACUGCGCUGGAAGCUCCACCUGAUUACUCAGAAAUUUUAACGCAGGCCUUCUCACCACUGGGCAUAAGAUCAGGACUCAAGCUCAGGGGGACAAAACAACUGUCUGAAGUACAUGCCCACACCUCCAGAUGCAAGCCAGAUGCACAGGGAUCUGUACAUGAAGUAAUGACAGUGCCUAUGGUGGAAGUGGCAGGGCCUGAUGGGGCAAUGCUCGUCCACCUGCCCUAGACAAUGGCAGACUGGAUGCAACAUGCCAAUGCAGCCUACACAAGAGCGAUUGCAGUUCUCUAAUAAAUGACUAAUUGACGCCUUUCCUGUGCGAAUGGACAUGAAAAUAAUAGGAAUUUGCAAGCAGCAAGAUUCAGAGACUGUGUCCCAGUAUCUAUCUCGUCUCACUGAAGUCCGUGAUGCAAAUUCUGACUUGGAAAGGCCAGCAGCACUGGCAGAUGGACAAGCAGCCGAAGUCGCGGCAUGGGAAGCACAUCUCAGAAACAGUUUCAUGAAUGGUAUGAAACCAGAGAUCGCUGCUCUCAUAAAACUUCAACGCAUCACUUGGGAUCUGGAAAUCUGACUCAGGUAGAAUGAUAUGCAAUCCACGUGGAGAAGCUCCAUAGAUACAACUUCGCACGUUUUUUCUGUGGAAAAGUUGGACAUUUUGCAAGAGUCUGUCCAGAGCAAGACCAAGAGGAGGCCAACUGAGGGGAGGAGGAAAGGAAAGGUCGUCAUACAUCUCACAGACACAUGGAGACCUCCUGCAUUAGGCCACAUAAUGUCCAAGCGCAUGCUGAGUUAAGCCUCCUCUGAAAGCAAGAACUGCCCUUGAAGUAAAUCUCUCUCCUUGGAGCAUCAGAUUGGAGGGAAAUUCACACAAAGGAAAUUCUGCAGAGGUGCUUCCCAGGUCAGUGUCAAUCCACAGAAGUUCUCCCAGUAUGUAACUGAGAGAAACUUUCCCUGUACAGAGCGCUUUUCCUGAGGUAAAGUCUGUCUUGAAUGCAGAGGGUCACUGUGACUUUGGAUUUGCCUGAGGCAGGGGGACUCUAAGGUUAAAGCCUUCUUCCACCACGGUCUGAAGAUGAGUCAUUUCAAAAGCCUGCAGUACAGCAACAGAAGUAGAAACAAAUGGAAUUUCCAUUGUGACGUGUGUGCUAAGACUGCAAUACUGUGUGGAGCACUGUUGUGUGAAGGAAACACACUAGCUGGAGGAGGUUGUUGGAGUCCUCACCGCAAACAAUAUUUCCAAAAGUGACACUAUCACAGAAAGCGCAAUGUAAGCAUUGACAAAAAGCAUCAAAUGCACAUGUGUUCAGCACAGAGAUUCUUAAUUUUAACAGGCUGUUGAUUAUUUCCAUUUUUAAACAGUUCCACUUUUACUCUUUUCUCUUUUCCCACUCACGGAUGGAUCUGCAUUGGAACCGCUAGGCCUCUCCAGUUUUCAAUAGCAUCUUCAUCUGUUGGAUGGAUGUUUGUGACGGUAUCAGACUUCCCAAAACAGGAAGCAUCCAUUUCUGGUUUUCAAUCUACACUGCAAGUUGUGCUGUGUAGUGGAUUGGCUCCUGUGAUGAUCACUGUUGCAACAGCUGCAUCUUCUUCAUCUUCUUCACCUUUUUGUUUUGCAGAACAAAUUUGCAUAUUGGCCUCAAUGAAGGACAGAUGUCGAGCAAUGAACUGAUCCACCCGAAUAGGCAAGUUUUCAUACUUGAAAAGCCUGCGUUUCAUGUUUUUGAACUUUUGCUUCAGCAUUGGCUGAACUUGCGGUGAUGUCGGUGCUUCGGAAGUGAGGGAUCAUUACCACUGUCCAGAGUGGUAAGUAACUUGCAAGCCAUAUUAUCAUGAUCACCAUUAGCCACGGCAAGUGACCUGAUCUCCUCACAUAGCUCUGUCACGCACUGCCGUAUGUGUUCAGUUACAUGGAUCCACUUCUUCCAGGUCCUCACCCUCCACAUCUGGAAUGAUCUGUCACAUUUUAUGUGAAUGUGGCCAUGAAACUCCUUACAGUUGCCUCUGAUUUAUAUGAAUUUCUCUGUGGCUGUUGUACAGACCUUGGCUCUUUUAAAAAGACAAAUGUGCAGGGGCAUUUCACUGUUUCAGGCAUAAAUUCAAUCCAUUUCUGAAAUGAAUGUCAAGAUCAAAAUCCAGCAAUCUUUUGGUCUUGAGGAAAGGGACCCUGGCUCAAAAUCAGUGUCAUCACUUCUGCCAAUUGUUUCAUCAUCACUUUCAUAAAUAAACCCUAAAGCAGUCCAGAUGUUGUGUCUGUUCAAUUUAACAAAAGUAUAUAGAGCCUUUGCAGUCAUCUUGUUUUCUAGCUGCUCACUAAGCUGUGUCCAGAUGCUCUGUUUAGGAGUAGCUAUGUUGCCAUUUUGGACUAUGGCCUCUUUUGAUGAACAGAGGACUGUGAAAAUGUAAUCCCUGUAGACCGCUGGUUUCUUGGGCAUCUGGCAUAAGCAAAACAUAAUUACCCACUGAAAUAAUCCUGACUCAAAAAAUGUCAUGUACAGUAUAAACUUGCUUUCAUGUAUUACUGUAUUUGCCAGAAUACAAGGAUAAUAUAAUAUGGUAAUAAUGUAUAAGCAUUAGGGAUGUCAAGAUACCAAAAAUCUAGUAGUCGGUACCUAUACCAUCAAAAGU
ensembl:lncRNA